CCAUCCAGUCUGGAGCUCCUUAAAGCCUGAAUCUGUAGCAAUCCUGAAUUUAGCAGGGGUUUCCUCGAAAGGAAUCACAAAGUCACUUAAAUGAAGGGUUCCUCUUGUUCCCAUAACACAGAGUUCCAUUGUCAGAUUAGAGAGGAAAGAGCAGUGGAAGGUUGCGUCUUUGCCAUCAUCCCAUACAAAAGUAGCCCCACAUGACAAGAUUACACCAGCUUGGUUCUUCACACAGCCAUGGUGCGCAAUUGCAGUUUUGGGCAGUUCGUAGUCGGCGGCCCAUAGGAUCGCGCGGAUGCAGUACCACCCAACAUCACCAAGAGCCCCAAGGGCAUCAAGAUCAGGCUUCACACGGAUGUCAUUCUGAAGGAAAUCAGGGUCCGCGCAAAAGGUGAAGCUGCUGUGAAUCUGCCAGCCCCAUAAGAUAAUAAAAUAUCAGUUCACAUACGCUUAGAGAUAUCAUUCUUGAUUUAUAAUAUGUAAAAGAUCUGGCAUAUGGAACAUUAAAGGAAUUCGCAGUUCAGGGCUACUAAAGGAGCAUCAAAUGAGUGAGGCACCAUAACCUGUAUCCCUAAGGUGCCGACAAAAUUCCAAGAAAAUAUUUAUUAUAGUAUAGAAUCAAUGGAUGGGAUCAAAAUGAAAAAAUGCAAAACUCAAGAUACAGCUGAUUAAAGUGUGAACUCUGAAGAGCAAGAGACCAUCUGCAACAGCGGUGCAGUAUAUGAUGACAAAAAUCUCCCAAUUUGUACUUGCAAACACAGACAAAGAACUAUAUACUCAAAAUAUUGAUUUUAUUAUGAAUCAUCCGUAGAUACCUUCAUUUAGAUCUGCUGAAAGAAAAGCACAACUUAAAAGGGGCCACACUUACUGAAAAAUAGAGAACAGUCAGGUAUAAUUUAGGCCUUGUAGGUGGAGGGAUGACAGACAAAAGGAAGAGCACACACUUCUCUCUCCCUCUUUGUGAAGACCUACAUGUGUGCUAAUAAUUGAAACAAUGGCUCCAUCUCCAGGUUUGCAUACCAUUAAAAGCAAUCCUACACAAUCUAGGGUAAACGCAUAUCAGAGAAGUUUCCCUUGGGACAUGGAAAUAACAUAAAAAGCUAAUUGCAACCCAAUAAAAGGUCCUUCAUGAAAAAUGUGGCACCAAAACUAGACUCACAAGGACAAAGUGAAAACUAAAACCAGUUUAGAGAUGAAUUCAUUGAAAAAUUGUAUUCAUGUUUGCUCAGAAAAGUAGGGUAUAUUCUAUAAGUAGUUCCUGGUUACUGUAUUAUCACCACUAAACACUUUUUAGGUGAUGGUACCUACAUGCUCAUGCCAAAUUGCUAUCAGAUAUGGAUUACGAACUUUCAUGAUCUUCUAAAGCAGGGUUCAACGACUUUGACAAAAGUCUUUGAUAAAUACAAUUUUAUGGGAACAAAAGGGAAAGUUCUUAGAAUUCAUUUGAAAAGCCAUCCGCAUAAAAAAAAAAAAAGAGUCUGGAAAGACUUGAAGCCUGGAUGUACUGCAAGAAUGCUCGCUCAAAGACCACUUGAUAGAUAGAACAUGAAACACAAAAAGAUAGGAAUAAUGGAGAACAUAACGAGAAAUUUAGGUGAGGGUUCGUUGAAAAGAAGAUAACUCAAGCAUCCAAAGACUUCAAGAGAUCUCCCAUUCAAUUUAGAAUCUAGUCCAGACACCACAUCUGCUCCAGAUCACUCAUGCAGCCACUUGCUAAUCUACCAAAAACAUCAUAAUGAGUACCGCUAUGUGUACCCCAGCAUGCACCCACUACAAGCGCAAACUAGGUUUUGUAAACCAUACAUAGGGUAGGUGGUUGCAAAUAAAGAUAUGCCAUCUUUUAAUCAAAAAAAAAAGCCAAUUUUUUGAAGCCAAAAAAGGGUAAGAAUAACAAUAAGUGUAAAACAUACACUACACUGUAACUUUAAAUCAGUUAAUCAACAAGACAAUAGGUAAGGAGGUAAAAUAUUCCCACCCAAGAAAUGGGAACAGAAGAACGCUGAAUGGACGGACCCCUCAGCCUCUUUUAAAGUGGACACUGCCGCUGCCCGUGAAGAGAAAUGAGAUAAGAUGAGGAGGAAGGCCGGACCGAUCUUGUACCAACUGGUUCAGUGAGUAAAGUCUCUUACAUGGAUACAAGAGACCUGUGUUCAGUCCCACCACCAUCACCCAGAUUCUCACCCGGGCUUCCGCCUCUCCGAGUCACAAAUACAGUUCUCAUGUUAUGCUCACCGUCUAAAAUGGAAUCUAUCUCUCACAAUCAAAUCCAUCAAAAAGGCCAAAAAAAGGAAUUUGAAGAACAGAUGACAGUCCAAGCAUCCAAAUGCCAUCAAUUAAUCAAACACUUGCCAAAAAUUCCUAAUUUCCAAAUAAGAACAGAGAUGUAAACAAAAUCCUUCAAGAAAAGAAGACCCAACAAUACAGGCUGAAUUACCAUCCAUAUAUACACAAACGAAAAUCUACAUUCCUUUUCUUAAACCCCUAAUUUCCAAACCGAAUGACUAGAAGUUAAAAGGUUUAUCUUUUGAAGAAAAUACACAAACAUUCGCGAAAGAAAACCUCAAUUACGAUGGUUCAUUCAAUUAGCUCCUACACCAAAAGGCGUCGUAAAAAAGGAGCCAUUUUUUUAGGAAAAACAUAAUCUUUCCAAAAAGGAGGAAAAAAAAAUUCCAAAAGCAGGAAAUAAAAGACCAGGAGAAAAACUUAACCUUCCGAAAAAAAACGCCCAAACAUUCGCCCCAAACAAUCUAUCCGAAAAAGCAAUUCUUUCAGGGAAAAGAAGGAAAGAAACAGCACGAAUUACCGCUUUUAGCUGGCCAAACCGGUUGGGGUCCGACAACAGCUCCCUCAUCCGGGCCGUCCGUGGAUGGUGCAUCCACAUGGUGGAGUCCAUGAACUGCACCCCGCGGGACCUGCAGGCCUCCAGGAUCCGGUCCAGAUCCGCGGCGCACAGCGCCGUGGGCUUCUCGAGGAGGACGUGCUUCCCGUGCUCCGCCGCGGCCACCGCCCAGCGGACGUGUAGGCCGGUGGGGAGCGGCACGUAGACGGCGUCGACGGCCGGGUCAUCGAGCACGGCCUCGUAGGAGCCUUGGGCGCGGGCGGCCGGCGGGAGGCCGUUGUCGGCGAUGAAGCGCUGGGCCUUGUCGAGAGAGCGGCUGCCGACGGCGACGACGGUGGCGUUGGGCGCGAGGGCGAUGGCCCGGGAGACCUUGCGGGCUAUCGUGGCGCACCCCAGGAUGCCAAACCGGACAGGAUUCGCUUUGUCGGCCAUCUUUUUUUCCUUUGCCUUUUUUGGUGUGUUGUCAGGAGAAAGAGCUAAUUUCUACUGACGAGUGAUGACCUUCUUCCCAGUGUCCUCUCCAGAGGCGUGAUACUUUGUAAAGUGUGGGGUUGUCCCUGGGCAGCUGGGAAAUGGACUCUGCGGUUGGCCGCCGUUGGCUUUUGCCCUUCUCUUUGAACAAAAUUACUGACGACUGCGGCCAAUCAUGGACGGAGAAAAGUUUGAAGCGCCAAAAAUCAGACUUUGACUUUGAGGGCAAAUUGAACUUGAUAUUAUUGGCUUCUUGCAUACAUGACAAACUAAAAUUUUAUUCCAAGACCAAAAUAUAUUGUUAACUUUUUUUUUUUUAUGUCAGAUGGCAAUUUGAUAAGUGAAAAUAUUAGAUGGCUGUUGGUAUUCUCCAUUUGAUAUUGAUAUAAUUAUCAUUAAUAAGUCUAUAAUAUCUAUAUAUUCUUUAUUAUUUUUAAAAUAUUAAAGCAUAUGAAUUUAAAUUAAUUAUAGAUCUCUAGAUCAAUAAAAUAGUUUUUAAUAAUUUAUAAAUGAUGAGUUAUUUUUUGUUCAUUGAAAUAAGAAAUUUAUUAUCAUGAACUAUUCCACAAUAAUUGAUGUUAACAUAAAUCAUAAAGUAUCAUAACACCAAUCUUUUUUUUUUUUUUUGCCCUAUUCAAUUGAGAAUGACUGAAUUAUUUUCACUAAAUUUGACUUGUAUCAUUUGAGCAUAUACAUCUAAUUGAAUAUAAUUGUGUCGCAGGCUUUGGUAUAUUUGUUCAAAUAUAAGAAACCAAUUUUAAUAAUGAUAAUUCAAUCACUCUUAAUUAUGGGAUGACAAAAAAAAAUAUUAUCAUGCUGCAUGAUCUCACGUUGAUAUCAAUUUUUACGAAAGGAAUCAUGAUACCUUUAAGAAAUUUUUGCCUCAACAAAUGAACAACUUAUGAUUUAUAAAUUAUUGAAAGCUAUUUCAUUGAUUUUAAUGUUUAUGAUUAAUCUAAAUUCAAUAUACAAAAAUAAUGAAAAAUAUGUAGAUAUCAUAAGCUCAAAUAUGAUACUUACAUCAAAAUCAAAUAAGAGAACAAAAUUACCAAAAUGAUUAUCCAACAUUCCAAUUUAACUAUGUUAAGGUCAAAACAAAAUAAAAAGAUCGAUAAUGUUACUCAGCUUUUUUUUCUAACCCGUCGAUUCAACUGAAUCAUCACAUACUAGAUAAGUCUCAACGAAGUUUUCAUUUUUUUUAAUAGAUUUUUUUAAUUAUAUAUAUAUGAUCUUAAGUAUGCAAAAUUACAUGGAUACCUCGUAAAAUCAUAAUUUAUGCAAAUAUCAUUUUAAUUUUUUCUAUUGUGUGACUACUAUUAAAGACAUUUCAAUCAUUUUAAUUUGUAUCCAUUUAUUUUUUAAUGACGUUAGAUUGUACGAAUUUAUAUUUUUUUAAAAAAAAGAUAUACAUAUAAAAUAAAUAUUUUAUAUAGGCAUGCAUGUAGAUUUACAAAGAUAUUCAUGUAAUUUGUAUAUUUAGAAGGAUCUAUAUGUUUUUUCCAUUUUUUUUCUUAAAUGGCAGUAUACAAGUUAGCUUAUCCAAAUCUUUCAUGGACCGAGGAAAGUUUGCAACCCAAAACUAGACUUUUGAGGAUAAAUUGAACUUGGAAAGUCUUACCAGCAAUAUUAUUGGCUUCGUGCACACAUGAGUUUAAAAUUUUAUGAAAAUUUCAAAGCUCGAGUUCCAUAUCAAAGGGAUGAUGGAAGCGCAAUUGGACAUGAAAGAAGCUUGAUGGCGAUCGAAAAAUCUCACUUAGACCAAACGAUAGCGAUUUUUUUUUUGGAUAAAAAAAAAGAUAGAAGUUAGAGGCUCUUUUAUGCUUUCACAAGCUGGACGAGCUUCUAAGCUGUAGUUGAUGGUUGCUGAUUUCGGCCAAAAUAUUUAGGCGAUAGCCUUCAUACCUUGAAACAUUGAAUGGAAAUGCAUAAUGCUACUAGGUCCAAAACUCCAAAUUGGUAAAGAGAGCUUCUUCCACCACUCAUCCAUGAAUGGCACCAACCCCCCAAAAACCACCCUAAUCGCCUCUUUCCAUCGAGAUUUUGGAUGAAAAAAAUGAAAAUAUUUGAGGCUGCGUCAUGUUCAUCUUUUGUUGCCUUGAGGAUCCUACUUGCAUUGCAUCAACCAAGCAGGUCACAUAAAGGAGAACUUCAUACCACGUGGCAUGUGCUCUAUUUUUUUUUUUAAUUCCACAAAAUAAGAACCUUGUAGAAUGGCUCGGGAAAAAAAAGAAAAAAAAAAAAUGCUCUCCCACAAACAUGACUCACAAACAAAAAGUGAAAUCAAUAAGACAAGCCGCCAUAAUUGAACAGCACAGCAAAUGCACAUGGCAGCACCGUGAACACUCCAUUUUACGUUCUUCCUAAUACCAUCACAGUGCGUGUAGGUCUGCCAGCAUUAAGCAUUAUAUUUGUGAUUCUUAAAAACAUAUAUGAGACAACAGUUUCUAUUUAUAAUAUUACAUUCAUCCAUGAACCUUAACCAUAAAGGUUUAGUUCUAAUUCCAUUUAAUUACCAUGUGCCAUUCGUAAUCUUUAUUUAGCAACACGAUUACAUCAUAGGGCAUAACUGAGGGGAACAUCCACUAACCGGUAACGUUGACAGGUUCAAACCCCUUCUCUAUCGACUCUUUCACUGCAUCAAGUACCAGUUGUGUCUUUCUAGUGAUGAUAGGCCAUUUUUCAUCUGGCUUGCUACCAGAAUCUCUUAUGCUUCCUGCCAACCUCGAGAAUUCCUGGAUCAUGAGGGCUUCCUGAGGAAGGUCAGUUGAGAUGACAUGCUCACUAGGCAGUGGUUGCCAUCCAAUAUGGAGCUCCUUAAACUUUGAAUCUGUAGCAAGCUUGAAUUUAGCAGGGGUUUCCUCGAAAGGAAGCACAAAGUCACUUAAAUGAAGGGUUCCUCUUGUUCCCAUAACACAGAGUUCCAUUGUCAGAUUAGAGAGGAAAGAGCAGUGGAAGGUUGCGACUUGGCCAUCAUCCCAUACAAGAGUAGCCCCACAUGACAAGAUUACACCAGCUUGGUUCUUGACACAGCCAUGGUGCGCAAUUGCAGUUCUGGGCAGUACGUAGUCGGCAGCCCAUAGGACAGAGCGG
rnacentral:lncRNA from 1 species